AUUGAACGCUGGCGGAAUGCUUUACACAUGCAAGCCGAACGGCAGCACGGACUUCGGUCUGGUGGCGAGUGGCGAACGGGUGAGUAAUGUAUCGGAACGUGCCCAGUCGUGGGGGAUAACGUAGUGAAAAUUACGCUAAUACCGCAUACGAUCUAUGGAUGAAAGCGGGGGAUCGCAAGACCUCGCGCGAUUGGAGCGGCCGAUAUCAGAUUAGGUAGUUGGUGGGGUAAAGGCCCACCAAGCCAACGAUCUGUAGCUGGUCUGAGAGGACGACCAGCCAAACUGGAACUGAGACACGGGCCAGACUCCUACGGGGGGCAGCAGGGGGGAAUUUUGGACAAUGGGCGAAAGCCUGAUCCAGCCAUUCCGCGUGCAGGAUGAAGGCCCUCGGGUUGUAAACUGCUUUUGUACAGAACGAAAAGGUUUCUACUAAUACUAGGAGCUCAUGACGGUACUGUAAGAAUAAGCACCGGCUAACUACGUGCCAGCAGCCGCCGUAA
rnacentral:rRNA from 1 species